rnacentral:lncRNA from 1 species
CAAAAGAUUAAUAUCAAUUGUCAACAUCAUUUUCUGGUGAAAAGGACAGUAUUAUAAACAGAAAGAAAUGAAUCUGGUGGUAAAAAUAUCGUCUAUUUUUAAUCAGGUGUUCUGUGUCUAGACUUGGUGAUCACUUACCUACAGGAGAAAUAUAUUCAUAUACCAGACAAUUAACAAACAUUGGCAAAGUAAUGGGCGAAAAUUGUUCAUCUAACAAUCCUA